CAAAAACUAAAAGGUUUUGCUGCUGCUCCGACACAAACAAAGAGCUCCGACACAUGACUGCAGCAGACUGAUGCAGGAUGAUGAUGAAGAUGUCAGGAAGGAUCACGAGUUGCUGUGUGGCUCUGCUCCUGACCUUUACAACAGUCUCAGCUGUCCGACGGGAGCUCAGAUCAAUCAAUGAUCUGAAUAUGGACAGCCGCGAGUUGCUCUGCUGGUUUGCCAAUGAAGUUGACAUUGACAGAAACGGCAUCAUACGUCUAACCUUUGACCCAAACAAUGGUGAUUAUGGCUCACAUCAUUAUGGCAACUUUGAGGGGUUGCUAGACCAAUUGCCUAGAGGAUACAGAUACUACACCCUUGGUAACAUCAAUCAACAGACAUCACUCCAAGUUCCAUCUCAUGGAAGAAACAAGGCUCGCCUCAUUAUUAGGAUCAGGGAGCAGAACGCAGGGCGGCAAUCACAGAUAAUAGACCGAGUCUAUAUCACACAGCAUUAUCAGCCAUUUGACUAUCAGAGGUCAGAGUAUGAUCCAGAUCGAACAUACCAGAUCACUCCCGGCCUCUUAAGACAGAUCAGAGGAAGAGCAAAUAAUUUACAGUCAUGGGGAAACAGGCAGCCUGCAACAGGAAGAAAUGAGCAACGUGAUUUCUAUUGGUUGCUUGCUUUAAUUGUUGUCUUCAUUUUGUUUAUUGCUCUUUUGUCAACAGCAAAUAAAAAGUGAGUAAACAUGACCAGAAAACAUGUUCACAGAUACUGACUAAACCAAACUUUUGUAAAUUAAAUUAUGCUAAAGACCAGAAAGCCAGCAGCAUCUAUACUGUGACUUGGAACAGACAAUUGGGUAGUUUCAAUACUUCAGUAAAACUACAUGAAUUGCACCAUUUGUUUAUUUUAUUUUUUUUACUCUGGACAAUAUGAAUUUAUUUUUGUAAGUGCGGUUAGGUUUAAAAUAUAGGUUGGUUACAGAAUGCUUGUAAUAGAUACCAAGAAGUUUUCACAUAGAUCAACAUUUCAUAGUUUAAAUAGUGCUCACUAAAAUGGUGCUCACUGUGUAUGGUCUGUAGAGUGUGUACUCAUGUCUAAUCUAACAGCAGUGCCUCCCAGCAAAUUCAUCUAAUGAGGAGAAUGGACAAUUGUUCUGAUGGAUGAAUGGCACAUACAUGUUGAAAAAGGCUAUUUUACCAAUUGCCUUGUACUCGUUCUGCAGUCUUUUAAAACUGUGCUCACUAAACUAAUUUUGUGACGUUUCAUCUCGUCUGUCUUGACUGAAAAUCAGAUUUGAUAUAUUUGUAUUGUUUAAAAUAUAAACUAACUGCAUG